rnacentral:rRNA from 1 species
UACGUAGGGUGCGAGCGUUGUCCGGAAUCACUGGGCGUAAAGGGCGCGUAGGCGGCCUGAUAAGUAGGGGGUGAAAUCUUGCGGCUUAACCGCAAGGCUGCCUUCUAAACUGUCAGGCUAGAGCACAGUAGAGGCAGGUGGAAUUCCCGGUGUAGCGGUGGAAUGCGUAGAGAUCGGGAAGAACAUCAGUGGCGAAGGCGGCCUGCUGGGCUGUUGCUGACGCUGAGGCGCGACAGCGUGGGGAGCAACAGG